UACGAAGGGGGCUAGCGUUGCUCGGAAUCACUGGGCGUAAAGGGUGCGUAGGCGGGUCUUUAAGUCAGGGGUGAAAUCCUGGAGCUCAACUCCAGAACUGCCUUUGAUACUGAAGAUCUUGAGUUCGGGAGAGGUGAGUGGAACUGCGAGUGUAGAGGUGAAAUUCGUAGAUAUUCGCAAGAACACCAGUGGCGAAGGCGGCUCACUGGCCCGGUAUUGACGCUGAGGCGCGAAAGCGUGGGGAGCAAACAGG
rnacentral:rRNA from 1 species